UUUCACUAUGUUGGCCAGGCUGGUCUCGAACUCCUGACUUAUGAUCUGCCCACUUCGGCCUCCCAAAGUGCUGGGAUUACAGGCAUGAGUCACCACGUUCGAUGAACUCUGGUAUGGUAUAGAAGUGUUUUAUGUGAAUUCUGUGUACAUGUGCCGAAUAUGACUCCUAGUACAGUUUGAUUUGUGCUAAGCCACCAACAGUUUUACCCAGUGUGGCUUAGACAUAAUAAAGAAGUCAAAUAAUGUCUUAGUACUAUUAGUAAAAUAAUUUUGACCUCACCUACCCCUGAAAAGGUCUGGGAGACUCCCAGGGGUCUGUGAACCCUACUUUGGGAAUCACUGUACUUGUUGUUCUGUCUCUUCGGCUCUCAGGGGUGAUGGGCCGUGUCUUUCAUAUUUUGCUGAUUAGGAAACUGGGGUCCAGCAGAGCCCCACAUGGGUCCUCAUCUCUCAUUCCAGCACUGAAGUGAGAAUUUUUUUCCUGGCAGUGACUGGGGAGGUUUCUUGGGGGGAUGGCAUUGAUUUUGAUGGAUGGAGAGGCCACCAAAAGUGGGGGCUGGGAAUGCACCCUUGGUGGAAGAAACAGCAUUGGUGAAGGCCUGGAGAAAAGAGCUCUAGAUGGGGUCAGAUAACUAGGACCCUCAAAUGCCAGUGCCAAGGCAGUGGGCACCACAGAGCAGUGGCCAGAGAUGGGAAGCAAUGGAUGAGAUGUGCCAGGGACAGGGAAAGUCAGAGAGGAGGGCCUUUGUCCUUCAUGAGGAGGCCUUCCCAUGCUGGCUGGCCUCAGGGCUGUGUUCUCAGGGCUGGGUUGAUGUGUGGCCGCUGGGAUGAACUUACCCUUCCUGACUGAUCAUGAUUGGCAGAGGGUGGUCUGAUGCCCAGAAUUCCCUGCUGACAAGUGUCUCCACACCUGCACUGACACUCAACCUCUCUUUGCCUUUGUAUUGGCUUUUAUGGUGACAGUGAGUAGCCUCAUCCAGUUUCUUAUGCCAUGCAUGAGUGUGAGGGUGACCUGGGCAGAGGUGGCUGCUGAGAGGAGACACUGGUAGUGACACGUCAAUGUGAUUAGGGGUGAGAGUUCUGACUUUUUUACCACAAAAAAACCUGCUUGUUGCAGGCACUGAUGCCUCAGCCUGAGUCCUGUAAAAGUGGGGGUUGCAGAGCUGACCCCGACACACCCCCCACCCUGGGCCCGGCCUGCCCUCUUCCUCUUCCUCUUCCUCUUCCAAUGGCCCUGUGUCCCUACCCCAACCUGUCCCUGAGCUGCUGGUCUGGUAUGGGGAGACAGACCUCUGCUUCGGUGCAAGACUGGCCUCACACCUCCUGCUGCGCACAUCUGUGCUCCUGAGCUAUGUACCUGGGCUGGGUUGUGCCACACAUGUGUUCACAGCCAUGCUGUGUGACAGUGUGGAUACACCCUGCACUGGCUGCACAUGGCUGCUCUGUGUCACAGACAUUGAGAGCUUGUGUACCUUGCCAUGCACAGAGUCGCUGAUUGUUUCUGUGCCUUUAGUUAGUUGGGUGGUGUAUGUUUGUGUGUAUAUGCUUUGUAUAUCUUUACAGGGUGUGAGUGUCACUGUGGUGGGUGGUGUUUUUGUGUGCUGGUUUGUCAGUGUGUAUCUUGGCCCAGCCCCAGAAGGCCAGCUGAGGUGUGGCAGGGGGUUGGGGGUUGGACUGUGCUGGGAUAGGGAGCCCACAGCCAGGAAGCCUGACUGGGAAUAGACAUGUCCUCACCUGCCCAGAAAGCGUCCCAAGCCCUCAAAGAGCCCUUGUCCAGCUUCACCGCCCCUGGCCAGUCAGGGUGGGUGGCUGGAGAAGGGGGCAUGAGGGAACCAAAACAACCUCAGCCCAACUCCCACACUUGGCUGGCACCCAGGCCUAUUAUGGGCCCCCCCCCCCCGCGCCCAUGGCCCGCCCCCUAAAGCUCCAAGCACUUUGCAUUGUGGGGCUUGGGGAGGGGCCUAGAGACAAGGCUCUGUUUGGCUCUUGUGACCAACUUCAGCUCCUAGUGGGCCACUGAGGCAGAGCUGGCCCCAGGCCUUGUUGAGGGUGGGGCUGCAGGGAGGACCAGCUCCACAGAGCCAGGGCUGAUGCUCAUCUCAUUACCUGUGUCAUUCAUUUAACAGAUACGCAUUGAGCACACACUGUGUUCCAGGCCCUGCUUUAGGUGCUGGGAAUAUAGCAGUCACUCAUUGAAUUAGGGGUAAAGAUAGGCGAUACUGCUGCUGUGCAUUUACAGAUGAAGAAACAGGUCCUGGGAGGUGAAGUGAUUUGCCCAAAGUCAUAACAAAGCUGGGAUUUGAAACCAGGCCUGUCUCAUGCAAGCGGCCUCCUCCUGCAUUUGUCCAUCCUGCCUUCGGUAGUCACAAUUACAGCCGAAUGCCCACUGAGCCAGGACCAGCUAGCUGGCUAGCCCCGUGCCCUGGGCUACAAGUUGAUGCAGGAGAGUGGGCACAAUGAAAUAGUUCCUAGGAAGACAAGUUGCCUGGAAUAGGCAUAGGGGUGGUAAGGUAGAGGAUUGAGGGGUGGGGAAGGAGCAGAAGGAGCCUGUGUCUGUCUCCAGGGUGCACUGGGACCCAAGGGAAUGCCUCCUCUCCUGCUGUGUGAUCUGGAAUGGUCCCUGCUUCACUCUGAGCCUUAACUUCCUCAUCUGUAAAGUGGGCACAGUAACUGCCCUCUCCCAGUGGUACCAUGCUCAUGGCAUGAUGCCUGGCACACAGUAGGGCAGCUAGGAGGAUGGGGCAGAGCUGCAAGUGGGCAGGGCCUCCCCAGGGCUCUCUGCUCAGCCUCAGGAAAUGGGUAGGGGGUAGGGAGGAGGAGGCGCAGAUGUGCGCUUGUCUCACACGAGCAGCCGCAUUUAGCCACGGAGUCGGGACUGAAAUAUUCCUGAGGGAGAAGAACCCUGAGGCUUCAGGGCGGCAACGGCUCGUCAGUGGGGAGCGGGGAAGGGAUGUUGUCACCAUCUGCCUCGUGUCUGUCUGCGACUAAAAUAAUACUGGGGUGAGACUCGCCGCAGGCACGGGCCCAGCCGCAAGGUUCCCCAGAAGAGGGAGGGGCUGGGGGUGCUGGAAACCUUGUGGGGAGCAGUGGCAGAGAGAGGUCUGCUGGGGGCAACUCUUGGCCAAGGCUGGGCCCUGGUCCUGCUCCCCUACUGAGGAGCCAAAAGAACCCAUGGGGGGGAUGUGCAUAGGCAUGAAUACUUCCUGGGGGGAUCAGCCCUGGGAGUGCAGGACCAGGAGACCCCCCCCAGACCCAGCUGGGGUCUGCUUCAGAGGGGAGACCAAGCGUGUGCUGAGAUCCCUGCAAAGCAGGGGCAACAGCAGAAACAAAGCAAGAGACAGACAAAUUGCCUGAUUCAGCUUCCAUGAGCUUAUCCAGAAUAUUGAAACCAGAAAACGUAGCAAGAAGCUAUUUUAAUUUCAGCCGACGUGUAAGUUUUGGGUCUAUGGUUUACUGUGGUAUUUAUUUUGAAUCAAAUAUGGAGGAUGUUCCAUAAUUUUCUCGGGGCUCUGGGCUCUGGGGACUGAGUGUCUCUGCCUUUCUCUACUGGGCACAGUAGUCACAUGCCAGCUGCCUCUAGGAGUUGGCACCCCUGGGUCUGGGCAGGUGCCCCUUCAGGUCAGGGACAUGGCUUGGAGCCUGAUGCUUUGCUUCUGGGUGAAGCCACCACAUUCUGAUCUUUUGCUAUGGUUCUCAUCAGACAUGACUAGUGGGGUAUUUUUGUUUUUGCAGAGAACAGACCCAUGACCUCAGUGGUUUAACUGUGGAUGCACCUAAAAUGCUGGUUGCUUUGUGCUGACAUGGGCUGUCAGUUUAGCAGGCAACGUGCGAGCACCUGCUAUGUGCAGACCCUGAGCUGGGACAGACUGGGCUCACCCUCAGCAUACAAGGUAGAGAAGCCAGCAAGACCCAUAGGAGAUCAGCCACCUGGGUGCCAAGGAAGGCAGUGGGGAGCAGCAAGGGGGUGUUGGAUAUGGCAGGAGUUCAUGGCUGUCAUCCUGGAGAAAGUGGCAGAAGCACUCAUCCUUGAAAAGGAGACAACAGCAAAGGACAGUAAAGAGUAUACCCCAGGCAGAGAGUACGUGUAUGUGCAGACCACCAUUUUGUGGCUGUCUCUCUUUGUGGCAAGGAUAUCCGUAUCACAAUUUAGGUGCAAUGUGGAGCCCUUCUUUCAGACCAGACCCAGGUUAACUGGCUUAGGUGUGUUUUCCCGGUUAGUCCUCACCAACAUCCCAUGAGGCCAAUACACUUAGUGCCCAUCUUAUAGAUGAGGAAACUGAGGCUCAGAGAGGUUUAGCAACUUGGGUAAGAGGCGGAGUAUGGCCCCGGGCUACUCUGUGCUGCCUCUGCCCAAUGCCCUCAUUUGGCAGGCAGCAACUGAGCGCCUACUAUGUGCAGGCCCUGAGCCAGGUGCUUCGUGGAUUCAGGCCACAGCAUCACAUUCCAGAGUGUCCUCAGAUGGCUGGCAUCUCUCAUUGUAAUCUGGGCACGAUGACCAGAGGAAGCUCCCUCUAGGGUAUAUGUGGGUAUCGGGGAGAGGAGUGUGGGUGGGAGUCUGGAGGCCCCUGCUUUAUAGCUGUGAGUUCUCCCUCAUGAAAGCCUCAGUUUCUUCACCUGGAAAACGGGGCCAUGAUGCCUGCUGUGCAGGCCCAUGUGAGGAUGUUCAUUGAAAGCAUGUGGAAAAAGUGCUCUGUGUGUUUGGUGAGCCCUCAAACUGGGCUGACUCUCCUCAAACCACUGGGAGCGAGCUUCCCGGAACAAUCUAGCCACCAGCCUUUCCUUGCAGCUGACAGGCUGCGGUCACCACUGCCACCACCACUCUGAAUUAUUCAAGACCCUCCAGGCCUCAGUGGCAGCCCUUCCCCUCUCCCUGCACAACCGGGCUGUCAACACCAGCCUCUGAGCCUCUGCCAGUGAUCUAUGGACCUCAGGGCCCCUGAGCUUCGGCCUGCUCAGGCUCUGCUUGUCAUGGCUGAAAUCCCCUGGACUGCAUUGGGACCAUACUGCUGAGAGUCUGGUCGCUGGGCUUCAGCUGACAGAACAUCAGAGCCCCAGGACCGGAGAGCCACAGGUUGGGAAGCUGCCACCACUGGGAAUGGUACAUUCAAGAGGGCAUGGUUUUACAGAGAAGUUUGAGGCCCAGAGAUGUGCGAGCCGCACUCCAAGUCACACAGCAAGUUUGGUUCAUUAGCAGGGACCGCCAGGGAACGGGCUGCAGGCCGCGAGUAUAGAGCUUGGCUGGGCCGGAUCGAUAUCUGCCCGCUGGACUGAUGCGCGAGGGAGGCUGCGAGACAGGCUGGCUUUGCUGCCGUGUGAUGGCCGCGCAGCACCCACCGACCCCCACAGCUCCCCCACCCCGCCAUUUCCUUCAUCUAGCGCUCCCGGGGAAACCGAGGCGGGCAAGUGGCGUAGCGAUGGAGGGCGCACCCAGGGGCAGCGACGCUCCCUCGCUCUGGCUCCCAGCUCUGGUGGCGGGGGUGCGGGGGUGAGGGUAGCCCAGGGUCGCACCCUGCUCCCAACCUCGGCUCGUCCCCACCCUCCACGGUCGUCCGCAGCUCUGCAUUUCUGCCAGUAUCGUGUCCCCUCGCCUGGUCCUUCGCCCUCCUCCCACUUUCAUUGUGUGUCUUCUCUCUGGCUCUGAGGUUGCUCCUCCCUCCCUUCUCUCUCUGGGUGUCUCCGUGUCUAUCUCCACAUCUCCAUCUCCAUUUCUUUCUCUGCUUGUCUCUGCCUCUAGCUGUCUCUGUCCCUCAGUCUCUGCUCAGGUCUCCGCUCGCCUCUUGCUCAUUUUCGUUCCUCCCUUUGUCUGACUGACUCUCUCUUCUCUCCCCCUCUUCAGUCACCCCCCAACCCCCCGCACACACACACACCUCACAGCCCUGUUUACGACAUCCCCUGGGCUGGCAGGUGGGCGGGGCUGCAGCAGAGCGGGGGUGAGAGAGGGAGACGCAGCCUCCCCCCCAGCUGUUAACCUUCACGCUUCAGGCCUCUGCGGAUGGCAGAGGAGGGGGAAAGCCCAGCUGCCAGCUUGGCGGAGGUGACCGGGCGGGGGCUGGGGGCUGUCCCUCCCUCUGGGCUCGUCUCUGGGGAGAUCUGGGGCCGGAAGGAAUGUGGUGGAGGCUGCCUUCGGCUGAGGAAGGCUGUUGCCGGAUGGGUGGCCUCCUGAAAGGCUUGUGCUGGCGAGGCGGGUGCCCAAAGGGGGCUCUGAGCGGUGUCGGCCCUGCCCGCAGCCCGGCCGGACGUGGGGGCCGGCGUGAGAAUCCCGCCCAUCUGUGAGCCGGCCUCACGCCGUCAGACCCAAUUUAUCUCGCCGCCAAAGUUUCACAGCCAUCUGCUCGAGUGGAACGGCUUCCAGCGCUGGCCCCACCGGGCCCCCCAGCCAGCGCGGGGAUGUUUUCCAAUACGACAGCAUUGCCCCCCCCAAAGCAAGGAGGGGGUGUAGGGGGAGGUGGCAGAGCGCGGUGCGCGGGGCUGGCAGGCAGCCCUCUCCCGCGAGCGAGCCGACCCUGAAUUUUAAGCGAUUGAUCAGGAAGCGCAGGCCGUUCCCAUCACUUUGAGCAGCCAAAUGCGACGGCGCAGGGAUUUCAAGGGGCCUUUGCGGAGGCGGUAAUGAGGUCACCGUCACUGCGCCAGCCCGCGGGCGGGAGGGGGCGAAGGUCUGCGGACACGUGUGAACACAGCCUGUGAACGGAGCCACAUCUGUAUUCACGUGACCCCCGGGGCCCCAGCACUGACCCAGGAGAACUCCGCAUUUGGAUCUGAGCUGAUUCACACUCCGCCGCCCCCAGCCCACCUCCCCGACCAGACAGGGUCGGAGAGACUGAGCUAGAACCCACCCUUGCCACAUCCAUGAUUCCAUGAUCACCUCAGACAGCUUCAGCGCAGGAGCUUCAACUCUCUUCUCCUCCCCGCUAUGUGCCUAAAAUACACAUAUUUGGGCACCUGCCCAUUGCACUUCUGAACAAGCCUGCAGAGACAGAUGUACCCUAGACCCCCGGUAAUCACACAGGUGCACACAUUCCAAUUACACACCUGACCGCAAUGCUCAUGCAUUGGUACACUCCCAACCACCACCACUACUAGCCCCAAACAUGCACACAGGUACUCCAUCAUUCUCAAGCCAGCACCCAGCAACGCAUGAGACCCCAAACUCCCCUCCCCCCGGGCGCACGCAUGUGCACACUCAUUCCCAAGACCCCGAGCUUGCUGCCAUGUCCGCGCGGGUGGGCGCCUCCACUGCCCGCCAGGCAGCGCGGGUGCAGACCUCGAAGAGAACAAAGGCCGGGCAGGUGGGAGGGAGGGGGGCUGAGCCCCCGGCCCGUCCUCCUAGGCAAUGCUCGUCUGUCUCGGCUCCGCGGCCACCGCAUCGAGCGGCUCUGAUUACCAAGUAAAUCACCGCGAUGAUCUGAA